CUGCACCCCAAACCCCGCUUUGCCUCCAGCAUUUAUAACGGUGUUAAAUAUAUUAAAAAGUGUUUUUAGUUUAUAAGGGGGGUCGCAGUCAGAGGCUUGCUGUGUGAAAGGGGUCACCAGGGGAAACGUUUGAGAGCCACUGCGCUACUCCAGCCACCCCCUAGCAGCCCUCCUCCCAUGGGAGAAGUGUCUCCCUGUAAACAAACCCUGCUUAGUUUUAAACAGGAAGACUGUCUCCAACGCUGGACAAGAUUUGCAGCAGCACAGUGCAUCCCAGGGAGCUUUCCGGCUGGGCUUUGUGCGCGUGCAGUCGUCUCUCAGAGCGCCCUGUGCUGUGGACAGCAUUGCAAGUCCGAGUCUCUCUCGACUCACGGAUGACCUCGGGCAAGUCUUCGUCAGGCUAAACUGCAGAAAGCGGCAUGCUGCAGGGGCCACAGGGACAGGGCCAGGCAAGGGAAAGUGCAGCACGGCUGCCUGCUGCAUUCGCUGCCCACCGAGGUUCUCUCGCAGUGAGGAGGUGUCGUCUGUCUUGUUUCGGCAUAGUUCCGCUCCUGGUCGGCAGAGCAGGCUGAGAUCGGGUUGGCCAGAGCCAGCCUUGGCGGUGUUGUGUGGCCUUACAGAGCAGUUUUGUUCACUCCCCACAGCAGCACUGCCAACUUUGUCCGUUUUAUCAUGAGUCCUGUGAGAUUUGGUGUUUUUCUGAAAGCCCCCCCGUGAGAUGGGGAGAAUUGGAGGGCUGGCCUCCACUGAAAAGAGACCAGGAAAAUACCCCCUCCCCCCGAAGAGCAGUAGUUAAGCAGUGGUACCACUGUCUUGUUUUAUGUGUAGCCAUCACCUCAGCUUUCAUUUCACAGAAAAAGGGAAGUUUUUCUAGUCCCGAUGGUUUCAGAGAAAAGCUUGAAAACAUAUUUGGGGACGGGAAGGAAUUUUCCCCCCGUCAGAUUAUCUGGGACCUUCAGGUGUUUUGCUUUCCCCUGCAGCAUGAAGUGUGGGUUGUUUGCCGGGACCAUCGGGUCACGGUGUAUCUCAGCUGAUCUAUUCCCAGGCAUUACAGGGACCAUGGGCACUGGUGCGCCUCUCUCCCUCCUGUUCUCUGCCUGUGGCAGGCAGCAGUUUAGUCUCCUGAGAGCUGUGGUACUCGGUUUACUUUCAGUUGUCGGGUCA